rfam:Nicotiana attenuata strain TT chromosome 11, whole genome shotgun sequence.
UAGUGAACUAUGCUUGAGCAUAGCGAAGCCAAAGGAAACUCUAGUGAAGGUUUCCAGCGAUACUGACGUGCAAUUCGUUCGUCUGACUUGGGUAUAGGGGCGAAAGACUAAUCGAGCUG